UGGGACUGAGACACGGCCCAGACUCCUACGGGAGGCAGCAGUGGGGAAUAUUGCACAAUGGGCGCAAGCCUGAUGCAGCGACGCCGCGUGAGGGAUGACGGCCUUCGGGUUGUAAACCUCUGUUAGCAGGGAAGAAGAGAGAUUGACGGUACCUGCAGAGAAAGCGCCGGCUAACUACGUGCCAGCAGCCGCGGUAAUACGUAGGGCGCGAGCGUUGUCCGGAAUUAUUGGGCGUAAAGAGCUUGUAGGCGGUUUGUCGCGUCUGCUGUGAAAGGCCGGAGCUUAACUCCGUGUAUUGCAGUGGGUACGGGCAGACUAGAGUGCAGUAGGGGAGACUGGAAUUCCUGGUGUAGCGGUGGAAUGCGCAGAUAUCAGGAGGAACACCGAUGGCGAAGGCAGGUCUCUGGGCUGUAACUGACGCUGAGAAGCGAAAGCAUGGGGAGCGAACAGGAUUAGAUACCCUGGUAGUCCAUGCCGUAAACGUUGGGCACUAGGUGUGGGGGACAUUCCACGUUUUCCGCGCCGUAGCUAACGCAUUAAGUGCCCCGCCUGGGGAGUACGGCCGCAAGGCUAAAACUCAAAGAAAUUGACGGGGGCCCGCACAAGCGGCGGAGCAUGCGGAUUAAUUCGAUGCAACGCGAAGAACCUUACCAAGGCUUGACAUAUACUGGACCGCAUCAGAGAUGGUGUUUCCCUUCGGGGCUGGUAUACAGGUGGUGCAUGGUUGUCGUCAGCUCGUGUCGUGAGAUGUUGGGUUAAGUCC
rnacentral:rRNA from 1 species